AGCAGCGGCACGGCCCCCCCUCCCUACAUAAGGUAAGAAGGGAGGGGGGAUAUUAAGUAAUGUACCCCCACAAUCACCCACACACAUACAGCACACACACCCACACACACAGCACCUACACACAUACAGACACACAGCACCCACACACAUACAGCACCCACACACACAGCGCACACACAUACAGCACCAGCACCCACACACAGCACACACAUACAGCACCCUCACACACAUACAGC